AGUGAACGCUGGCGGUAGGCCUAACACAUGCAAGUCGAACGGCAGCACAGUAAGAGCUUGCUCUUACGGGUGGCGAGUGGCGGACGGGUGAGGAAUACAUCGGAAUCUACUUUUUCGUGGGGGAUAACGUAGGGAAACUUACGCUAAUACCGCAUACGACCUACGGGUGAAAGCAGGGGAUCUUCGGACCUUGCGCGAUUGAAUGAGCCGAUGUCGGAUUAGCUAGUUGGCGGGGUAAAGGCCCACCAAGGCGACGAUCCGUAGCUGGUCUGAGAGGAUGAUCAGCCACACUGGAACUGAGACACGGUCCAGACUCCUACGGGAGGCAGCAGUGGGGAAUAUUGGACAAUGGGCGAAAGCCUGAUCCAGCCAUACCGCGUGGGUGAAGAAGGCCUUCGGGUUGUAAAGCCCUUUUGUUGGGAAAGAAAAGCAGCAGGUUAAUACCCCGCUGUUCUGGCGGUACCCAAAGAAUAAGCACCGGCUAACUUCGUG
rnacentral:rRNA from 1 species